AGACCCAAUCAGACUUAACGAAUGUUGAAACUUUUUGUGAGAUCAAACAAAACGUGUAUAUUUUCAAUUGCAAUUGAGUAUUUUUUUUAAAAAUUUAGUCGUUAUAAAAUAUUUUCUAUAUUUAGUGUUUAUAUUAUCUUAACUAUUCUAUAAAAAUAUAUAUCGCAAACGCCAUCAAGUGCCUUGUUGAAUGAUCAAGAUCGAAGUAUAGAUAAAAUAGGAUUGUACCAGCAUUUCAGCUAAUUAGAAUUAUUUUGACUUUGACGGUUUUGCAUCAAAAUGGCUGCUGUUACGGACAUCACAAAUGAAAUUGAAGAUAAAAAAGAAUUCUUGCGUAGCGCAGGAAGGAGGCUUGACUUAAAAGGUUUAGUCGAUGAAGAGAUUCUAUACACAUUUUGCGGAAAUGGACGCAAGUAUAUUCUAUUCAUUCUACAGCUUUACCCAAAAAUCGGAAAAGUAUAUUUUACAAAUCUCAUGGACUCUUUUAACGUUGAACACAUUCCACGUAAAGCAGAAUUGCUCACUGCUGACCUUCAAGAUAUAAUCAAGAAUCUGUGUUUCCGAAAUUUCCUAUACGACUAAGUAGGAAUGAAUAUAAAGAACUUGUCAAAGACAUCGGCUUUUCAGUUGUUGAGUGUGAGGAAUAUUAUCGAAUAUUCGAAUUCGAAAGCCUGCUGGACUUUUACGAAAAAUGUGAGUAUGACAUUUGUUUCAAAUUU
rnacentral:misc_RNA from 1 species